AUUCAAAUCAAGGAGUAACUGAUUUGAUUUUGGUAGCCCAAGGUCAAAGGUUAAGCUUUGUAUGAUCCUCCCUCUUUUAGCCACAGGAAACUAUCUGCACAUCCUGAAGUUCAUCGUUCCUGCUCUACUUGUCCUGAUGAUCAUCAUUUUAAUCGUCGUAGUUUUAAGAUUCAGGAGGAAAAAAUCUAUUCAACAAGGAACAACAAACACCAAAUCCCAUUCUGUUUCUUCGGUAAUGACACAUUUGUUAAAGCCAUUCUACUUCUUUAUUGAAAACAUCUGGACAGAAAUGACCCAUCUUGUUUGUUUGUGUGUGUGUGUUAAAAAUUGUUUAAAUCAUAGUGUCUGGUCAUGGUGGCCUUUUGUCAGAACAUUGUCUUAGUACAAUAGAUUUUUUUAAUUAUUUCACUACCAGUCGUUGAAAUUUCUAAAUCUAUUUCUAAUUGGCUGUUUGUAUAUUGGAAAUCACAGGAAAUAGUGAUUAUGGAGAGUACAGGUAUAAGAUUCAGGAUAUUUAAGCCUCUGCUUCAUCACUUCUGACCUGUUACAGCUGUAAAACUACUGAUUCUUGUAUAUACUCUAAAUUAUGUAAUAAUUUCAAUAUUAUGUUAUCAAAUAUGUUUUAAAGGAGAUAUUACAAAGCCUGCAAAGUCCCAGAAUGUGUUAUUUGUUUUAUUUGAGAACACACGAUGCAGGGAUCUGAAACAAGACAACAUGUGCACAUCAUAUUUAAAAAUUAUGAAUAAAAUAAUCUAUUAUGAUAUCUACAA